rnacentral:rRNA from 1 species
UAGAGUUUGAUCAUGGCUCAGGAUGAACGCUGGCUGUAUGCCUAACACAUGCAAGUCGUACGAGAGUUUUUAACUCUAGUGGCGGACGGGUGAGUAACACGUGAGAAUUUGCCUUUAGGAGGGGGACAACAAUUGGAAACGAAUGCUAAUACCCCAUAUGCUUUCGAGUGAAAUGGAUUUAUAUUUAUCCGCCUAGAGAGAAGCUCGCGGCUGAUUAGCUUGUUGGUAAGGUAAGAGCUUACCAAGGCGACGAUCAGUAUCUGGUUUGAGAGGACGAUCAGACACACUGGAACUGAGACACGGUCCAGACUCCUACGGGAGGCAGCAGUGGGGAAUUUUCCGCAAUGGGCGAAAGCCUGACGGAGCAAUACAGCGUGAGGGAAGACUGCCUAUGGGUUGUAAACCUCUUUUUUCAGGGAGGAAUAAAUGACGUGUACCUGAAGAAUAAGCAUCGGCUAACUCCGUGCCAGCAGCCGCGGUAAGACGGAGGAUGCAAGUGUUAUCCGGAAUCACUGGGCGUAAAGCGUCUGUAGGUGGUUUAAUAAGUCAACUGUUAAAUCUUGAGGCUCAACUUCAAAAUCGCAGUCGAAACUAUUAGACUAGAGUAUAGUAGAGGUAAAGGGAAUUUCCAGUGGAGCGGUGAAAUGCGUAGAUAUUGGAAAGAACACCGAUGGCGAAAGCACUUUACUGGGCUAU